UCACAAAGUUGUUCAGAUAUGUUUAGACUGGAUUUGGCAUUUUUAUUCACCUAUCAAAUCCUUUCCAAGGACUGGGAUAGAUGGAUGUUG